UCUCCGUAGGUGAACCUGCGGAGGGAUCAUUACAGAGUUCAUGCCCUACCGGGUAGAUCUCCCACCCUAUGUUAUUAUUACGUUGUUGCUUUGGCGGGCCGUUAGGCUCCGGCCCGACUACCGGCCCCGGCUGGUAAGCGCCCGCCAGAGGACCCAAAACCCUGAAUAUUAGUGUCGUCUGAGUACUAUAUAAUAGUUAAAACUUUCAACAACGGAUCUCUUGGUUCUG
rnacentral:misc_RNA from 1 species